rnacentral:rRNA from 1 species
GUGGGGAAUUUUGGACAAUGGGGGGAACCCUGAUCCAGCCAUGCCGCGUGUGUGAAGAAGGCCUUUUGGUUGUAAAGCACUUUAAGCGAGGAGGAGGCUACCGAGAUUAAUACUCUUGGAUAGUGGACGUUACUCGCAGAAUAAGCACCGGCUAACUCUGUGCCAGCAGCCGCGGUAAUACAGAGGGUGCAAGCGUUAAUCGGAUUUACUGGGCGUAAAGCGCGCGUAGGUGGCCAAUUAAGUCAAAUGUGAAAUCCCCGAGCUUAACUUGGGAAUUGCAUUCGAUACUGGUUGGCUAGAGUAUGGGAGAGGAUGGUAGAAUUCCAGGUGUAGCGGUGAAAUGCGUAGAGAUCUGGAGGAAUACCGAUGGCGAAGGCAGCCAUCUGGCCUAAUACUGACACUGAGGUGCGAAAGCAUGGGGAGCAAACAGGAUUAGAUACCCCGGUAGUCC